rfam:Danio rerio chromosome 7, GRCz11 reference primary assembly.
ACAAAGGCUCUUUUAAGAGCCACACAUUUCACUCACUCAAAGAGUUU